rnacentral:tRNA from 1 species
CGGAAGUAGCUCAGUUGGUAGAGCAUCAGCCUUCCAAGCUGAGGGUCGCGAGUUCGAACCUCGUUUUCC